rnacentral:rRNA from 1 species
UACGUAGGGUGCAAGCGUUAAUCGGAAUUACUGGGCGUAAAGCGUGCGCAGGCGGUUUUGUAAGUCUGACGUGAAAUCCCCGGGCUCAACCUGGGAAUGGCAUUGGUGACUGCACGGCUAGAGUGUGUCAGAGGGGGGUAGAAUUCCACGUGUAGCAGUGAAAUGCGUAGAGAUGUGGAGGAAUACCGAUGGCGAAGGCAGCCCCCUGGGUCAAGAUUGACGCUCAUGCACGAAAGCGUGGGGAGCGAACAGG